rnacentral:rRNA from 1 species
AGAGUNUGAUCCUGGCUCAGAUUGAACGCUGGCGGCAGGCNUAACACAUGCAAGUCGAGCGGUAGCACAGAGAGCUUGCUCUUGGGUGACGAGCGGCGGACGGGUGAGUAAUGUCUGGGAAACUGCCUGAUGGAGGGGGAUAACUACUGGAAACGGUAGCUAAUACCGCAUAACGUCGCAAGACCAAAGAGGGGGACCUUCGGGCCUCUUGCCAUCAGAUGUGCCCAGAUGGGAUUAGCUAGUAGGUGGGGUAACGGCUCACCUAGGCGACGAUCCCUAGCUGGUCUGAGAGGAUGACCAGCCACACUGGAACUGAGACACGGUCCAGACUCCUACGGGAGGCAGCAGUGGGGAAUAUUGCACAAUGGGCGCAAGCCUGAUGCAGCCAUGCCGCGUGUAUGAAGAAGGCCUUCGGGUUGUAAAGUACUUUCAGCGGGGAGGAAGGUGUUGCGGUUAAUAACCUCAGCAAUUGACGUUACCCGCAGAAGAAGCACCGGCUAACUCCGUGCCAGCAGCCGCGGUAAUACGGAGGGUGCAAGCGUUAAUCGGAAUUACUGGGCGUAAAGCGCACGCAGGCGGUCUGUCAAGUCGGAUGUGAAAUCCCCGGGCUCAACCUGGGAACUGCAUCCGAAACUGGCAGGCUUGAGUCUUGUAGAGGGGGGUAGAAUUCCAGGUGUAGCGGUGAAAUGCGUAGAGAUCUGGAGGAAUACCGGUGGCGAAGGCGGCCNNANNGACAA